rnacentral:rRNA from 1 species
GACGAACGCUGGCGGCGGGCGUAACACAGGAAAGUCGAACGGAAAGACCCUGCUUUUGUGGGGUGCUCGAGUGGCGAACGGGUGAGUAACACGUGAGUAACCUGCACUUGACUUUGGGAUAACUUCAGGAAACUGGGGCUAAUACCGGAUAGGAGCUCCUGCUGCAUGGUGGGGGUUGGAAAGUUUCGGCGGUUGGGGAUGGACUCGCGGCUUAUCAGCUUGUUGGUGGGGUAGUGGCUUACCAAGGCUUUGACGGGUAGCCGGCCUGAGAGGGUGACCGGCCACAUUGGGACUGAGAUACGGCCCAGACUCCUACGGGAGGCAGCAGUGGGGAAUAUUGCACAAUGGGCGGAAGCCUGAUGCAGCAACGCCGCGUGCGGGAUAACUGCCUUCGGGUUGUAAACCGCUUUCGCCUGUGACGAAGCGUGAGUGACGGUAAUGGGUAAAGAAGCACCGGCUAACUACGUC